UCUGUACAGCCCCCUGAAUGAGAUAAAGAAACAACCGAAGUUCUCGUGUAUUUGAACAAGUGUUGUUUUGAGCAUUGAAUACGUAAUAAUUGUUGAAUAUAAUAAUAUUAUCUUGCCUUCAAUUCUAAUUAAUUUUCCAUACAGAUAUUUCAAACCACAUACGGCUCGUUAAGGUACGUAACCUAAUUGGUGUCACUUAUGGUAGCAGCGUAGAACUCUAGAAGCGGUGCAGCAAAUCCAGCAAAUUCGGUGCUGCAAACAAACACAAAACUGUGGAUGCAAACGCUGCUACAUCGAACACAAAUAAUUUACACACCAGAUAUUAGGUUUAAUGUCACUUUUUUACGUGCAAUUAAACCUUUUGGUCAACACAAUCACGGGAAGAAUUGGAACAGCAUGGUUUAGGUGCUUUUGCCGUUUAUCAUCGCAACGUGUGUCAACUGGGUUUUGCCAAUGAGUUGGCCGUGCCAUUAGCAGCUAAAACACAGAAACUAAAGGGUAAAUUUAAUUGUCGUAUUGCUUUACAAGGAUUCACCGAAAUUAGUUCAAUGGAAAUGGAUGUUAAGACAAGAACGUUGCCAGUGUUGAAACAUAAGAAAUUGGAUGGAUCUAAAGAAACCAAAAGAGUCCUCACAUAAUGCGCGCAUCUUACACUUCCUGGCCGCACAGAGUAUUUGAUAUUUGCCACUCUUCCUCCAGCCUUUGUCAGAUGUCAAAAAUUUUGUUAUUAAAUUUUCAUUUCGGGUUUUAGAAGAACUAACCUUAAAUAGCGGGUAUAGUUUCAGGGCUUUUGUGGGUCGCAGUACUGAAAGUGCACGGGGAAUUUUCGUUCGCAGUUUUGGGUCUUUCAUUCGUGAUUGUACCAAGAUCAUACCCCGAAUUGUGCAAGAUAUAUAUAUAAAUUUUUAAAUGAUGAAUGUAAUGUGCAAGAAAGGGAUGAACGAUCAUACGUACACAAGAGUUUCGGACACUUUUGUCAAUUCAUCCUUAAGGAUCGCAUAGAAACUUUCAUUGAAACUGCUAGUACCGCUCCCUGGCCUUUCACAGAAGAAUUCGCUGGUACCUGACUUGCAGGAUAUACAAUACAAAUUACAUAUCACUUCUAUUACGAUUGUUACAAAUAUUCGUACGUUCAUUUGUAUAUAAAUGCUAUUGUAACAAUAUUUUACAUUUAAAUUAAUAAAUUUAGUGCUAUUGCGAACGUUCAAAAUUUAUAAAUUAACAAUCAUAAUAUUGAAAACGAUAAAUUGUAAGUUCAGCUUAAUAAUCCCUGCAUAGUCAAAUCAGAAGCAAGAUGAACAACUUCGGCGCUUCAAAAUGUUUUUUUGAGAUCUGUUAAUUGUUAACUAUGUGUAGAUCCAAGGGCAUCAUAGGAGACAGUGUGUUUAGCACUUCGAAAAUAAGUAGUGAAACUGCUACUUCAAAAGUCCGAAGUAAUUUGUUGUACAUCACCCGAUGCCUGAAAAAUAUUUAUAGUUGGCUAGAAAUAAUUAAAAUAUCUAUAUUCGUAGAAUAACUUACUAAUAGAGGGUUGGAAGUUUGUUAAGGCAUUCGACGAAGCGACAACCGAAUCGGGUGAUGCAGAUUUUGUUGUUGCUAACGAAUGACUCAAUCGAACCGCUGAACAAAAGUAGCGGUGAAAUUAAUUAUGGCUUCACUAAAGACAUAUAAAAUAGAUGCCGGCGCUAUCAACCAUCUUACCUCGGAUAAUGAGAUGGGUGAAGUGGAGGAAGAUCCUAUGGAGUCCUCGAGCGAUGUCGAUAGCCUCGAAUAAGCAAAGUAGCGUCAGUAGCCCUAAUUAACCGCAUGGCAACAGAUCAGCCUGACUUUGUCCUCAUUGAGGAGCCAUGGGUUAAUAGAGGGCAGAUUUGCGGCCUGAGGACGUCGAAUUAUAAACUAUACAUGUCACAUUACGAAGUAACAAAGACACCACGGCAGUAAGCUGGGAGACGGGUAGAGGUAGUUACCAGCUUGUCUCUUGUCACAUGACGUAUAAUGAGGAGCAGGUACCAUCACUGCAAAUAAAAAGGUUGGUGCAAGAAAGAGAAAUGUCCAAGAGCUUAUACUUGGAUGCGACUCCAACGCACAUCAUUCACUAUGGGGUAGUUCAGAUACCUACGCAAGAGAAAUCGACAAGAAGUAUUAGAUAUAACACUUGUGUCGGAAGAACUGAUAGAAAGAGUAACUCGUAAACCAGACAUAGAUGAUGGUCCCCCGAGCUUAAGAAAUCUCAGAAAGAGUCCAGGAGGCAGUUUAUUCUAGCGAAACAAUCCCAAGUAGAGCAGGACUGUGAACGAUACUACAGCCUUCUAAGGUCAUACAAAAAGGAAAUCAAAACGAAAAUCGUGGAAAUUCUUCUGUGAAGAAAUCGAGACCACGACAGAAGCGUCUCGGUUAAGAAAGGUAAUAGCAAAAGCUACACAUAACGUUAGGUACCUACAGAAGCCAGAUCAGAGCUGGACGGAAUCCAGUGAAGAAACCUUAAAAUUGCUGAUGAAUACUCACUUCCCGGGCAGCUCAGAGAGCUUAACCGCUGAGUAUACACUAGAUACUGAAGUGGACACAGAUCUUAAUAUUGGAGACUUAAUAUCAAUUGACAAAAUAAGAUUGGCAAUUAACAGUUUCAAGCCUUCUAAAUCUUCUCAAUUGCAGAAAUCGUUCAGUUACGUAUCGGGCUGGUUAAUAACCAUUCUCGAAGGGACUAUACAUACCAAAAGCGGGUAAAAGCUCUCAUACUAGUCCAAAGGAUUUUAGACCAAUCAGUCUUUCUUCAUUUCUACUAAAAACACUGGAAAGAUUAAUAGAAAUUAAUAUAAGAUGCAGGCUAACUCCGGAAUAGCUAGCAGUUUCACAACACGCGUACUCCAAAGGAAAAACCACGGAAAUAGCUUUAAACUCGGUGGUGACCGAGAUUGAAAGGGCUCAGGAAGGAAGUAAAGGAAUACGCUCGCAUAGCCUUCUUAGACAUAGAAGACGCGUUUAACAACAUCCAGCCUAAGGCCAUAGUCAACGCGCUUAAAGAUCUGGAUGUCUCAGAAUCACUCAUGAAACUUAUAGAACAGAUGCUUCUAGGCAGGUUCAUAACUUCAACGAUGUGCAGAUCUGUCCAUAGGGAUACACCUCAAGGAGGCGUGCUAUCCCCACUUCUAUGGAUCUUAACAAUGCUUCUAGGCAGGUUCAUAACUUCAACGAUGUGCAGAUCUGUCCAUAGGGAUACACCUCAAGGAGGCGUGCUAUCCCCACUACUAUGGAUCUUAACAAUGAACAGUAUGUUGUUAGAUCUAGAGAAAGGGGGAGUACAUGUUAUAAGUGAGAAAGCAAGCUACCUGGGGCUAAUUUUAGACAGGAAGCUAUUAUGGAAACCAAACUUGGAUGCCAGAGUAAGGAAGGCAGCUUUAGCACUAUACACUUGCAAAAGGAUGGUUGGACCAAAAUGGGGACUAACCCCCGCGUAUCACAUUGGCUCUACACAGCUGUGGUAAGGCCGAUCAUGAUAUAUGGGAUAUUGGUCUGGUUGCCAAUAAUUGACAAGAAGUACGCAGUAAAGCGUAUGGUAUGUUUACAAAGAGCGGCAUGUAUAUGUAUCAGUGGAGCUCUCAGAACAGCGCUAGCCAGGCAUUAGAUGCGAUUUUGUAUUUACUGCCUAUAGAUCUAUUCUGUAAGCAGCAGGCGGCGAAAUCGGCACUUUCGCUACUGCAAAAUUGCAAUAGGGGACAUUCUAGUAUACUCGGCAAGUUCCCAUUUCUACCAAAUAUUACGGAAUUUCGCCAUCCUAUAGAAAUUAAUCUAAACUCGGAUCUACACAUAUCUUUCCCCUCUAGAGACGAGUGGGAAAUGGAAAAAAUGGACAAAGAUUCAGAGGUUCAAAACUAGACAAACGAGUAGGAGAUGGGGUAUUUUCAGAGAAACUGGAUACCAGAUCGCUUUCCGGUUACCGGAUCAUUGCAGUGUUUUCCAAGCAGAGAUCACUGCAAUUAAAGAAAGCCUGUCUGUCAAAAAUAGUGUUAACGACUAAACACAUAUUCAUAUUCUAGGAUAGUCAAGCGGCUUUAAAACCACUAAAGUCGCAAAGAAUAUAAUCGAUUACACACCUUCUAUGUAAGGAUGUAAAGCUAUGUAUAGGAAAAUAAUCGCAACUAUUGGGCGCGGUUUUCUCGAUGAUGUGGGCGAAGUUGCUCAUAUCAAAUUGUGUAAACUUUUUCACUUUAUUACAGGGUGGUUCAAAGAUGACUCUAUAGUGUGAGAGAUUUUUUAUUGUUUUGUUUUAGUUUUGCAAUUAAAUUAAUUUCAAUAAUACCUGUUGUUGUAGCAUAUUUUGUGUUGUAUUUUUAGGUGGAUGAUUUUUGUUACUUUCUGACGCAAAGAACUACAUGUGCUACUUCCAUUAUACAGCGAAUUCUAGUUCGAAUUUGUAUUGUACGAUUGAUGAGCGAUUGCCGUUGUAUGUGUUGAAGAACUGCUGGUAGAAUUCCCCGCGGUCAUACCGAGUAUAGCUACCUUCCUAUAUGGGAGUAAUACUUUAUCUCCGCUUUGUUGUUCCGUAUUCUGGUUAUUGUUGUCUCCAUAAACAUCCAUUACGUUGUUAUUAAUGCAAUGUUAGUGUAUAUUAAUACAAUCUAAUAUGUUUCUAUGAGUCCUCCGCCUGGAGUCGCUAUUGUUGUACUAUCGUAUAUUCUAACAAAAGAUUUUAUGUUAUCUAUAAUAUAAAAAUGAAUCGCAAAAUGUGUUGCUAAGCGCAUAACUCGAGAACCGCUGAACCGAUUUCGCAAAUUCUUUUUUCACAAUGUUCCCUGAAGUGCAAGGAUGGUUCUUACGGGAAGAAAAAUUAAAAAAAUCCUUGAAAAAGUCUAAAAUCCAUACUUUUCAAAUUUCAAAUACAAACAAUUGGUAAUCUUUAGAUGUUAAAAUGAACAAAACAUCGAGAACGGCUGAACCGAUUUAUGGCAGUCAUGCGAACUAUGUAAAUAUGGAAAAUGGCGGAAAAGAUAAUAAUUCUAAAAAAUAUGUGAAUUGACAACAUAUUUAAAAACAAAUGAAAAAUUUUGUAUUUGAAAUAACAUAUAUAUUUCAAACAUUCAAAAAAUAAGUAAAAAAAUAUGAAUUGAAAUGUAAAACACAACUGAAUGUUUUAACCGUAUGUGAUUGAUGAUGAUCGAGUAUACAUUUGCUAUUUGUGCCGAUAUUCCAUCACGUCUGUAAUAAAAUUUCACAUGAAAACAAAAGUCUGUUUGAAGUACAUAUUAAAUAUAUACAGAUUUAAAGAAAAAAUUCUUAUAAAAAUAAAAAGUGUAGUGUGUGUGUUUAUUCACGACAUGCCUCCUAUAAGACGUACAAAUUUAGGAAGAAGAAUCAGAAAUGCAACAAAUCAAAUUAAUUAUCAAUAUAAUCGUACUGCCCAGGAAAAUGAAGAUCGCAAUCAACGUGAAAGGAUUCGGGUAAGUCAGACCCGUGAAGCGCGACAAUCAAAUAAUAAUGGAGCAAGUUUGAAUCGGGCUGCUUUCUGUUACGAUAUGACAAUUGAUUACAGUGCCUACAACUGCGUUCGUAUUGGAUCUAUGAACUCGGUUUGCAAAUAUUGCAAGGCAUUGAAAUACAAAAAUGAAGCCAAUGGAUUGUGUUGCGCAAAUGGAAAAGUGAAAUUGAUUCCAUUAC